AAAAUCAAAUCAUCCGCUGAAUAUGACUUUCUUAUUAAUAUUAAGGUUCCUCCAUCCUAUCUAUUUGAUUCAUACCAGCCUGUGUGCCCUUUCAUUUUCCAUAGGUUCCACUCUCCUUUCAUUUUCUAAUUAUCAUUAACAUCAUCCUUCAUAUAACCAUUCUAUAUAGAAUUGCUCUUCCUCUUGUUGCGCUGACACAGUACAGCUUAUCAUUCAAGAAAAAAAAGUGAAAAAAACUUAGGCUUCUUUUUGGCCUUUUUUGCCAGCAUUGCAUUGCAUUGCACAUGGGGAGGCAUUCUUGCUGUUACAAGCAGAAGCUGAGGAAAGGCCUCUGGUCCCCUGAAGAAGAUGAGAAACUUAUAAAUCAUAUUACUAAAUAUGGUCAUGGCUGUUGGAGUUCAGUCCCUAAACUAGCUGGUACAAUACACACUAUUUUACUCACUUUUCUUGAAAAUGCAUCAGGAAAAAUAAUACUAUUUUGUUUUUGAUGCAGGGCUUCAGAGGUGUGGCAAAAGCUGCAGGCUAAGAUGGAUUAACUACCUGAGACCUGAUUUGAAAAGAGGAACAUUCUCACUUGAGGAAGAGAAUUUGAUCAUUGAACUUCAUGCAGUUCUAGGGAACAAGUACAUACAUAUUUUCUUGAUUCUUUUACACAUUAUAGUACUUUUCAUGAUGUAACAAAACUGACCCUUGACUUCUUUUUCCAUAGGUGGUCACAAAUUGCUGCUAGAUUACCUGGAAGAACAGACAAUGAAAUCAAGAAUUUAUGGAAUUCUUCCAUUAAGAAAAAACUAAGGCAAAAAGGGAUUGAUCCAAACACUCACAAGCCACUAUCUGAGGUUGAGAAUGAAGAGAAGGUGUCAGUAAUCAGUAAGAACAAUGAGAAAGCUUCUGAAGGCUCCAGUGAACUCAAUUUCUUUGAAGCUCAUGAGAAUUCUAACUAUGGAAUUGAAACAGAGAAACCAAAACCAUCUUCAGCGACGACUAUGGACCGCUAUUCCAAUCAUAUGAGUGCUGCUGUAGCCCCACCAACACAUGUAUU
rnacentral:lncRNA from 1 species